rnacentral:lncRNA from 1 species
UCUGAUUGCUCUUCUUUUUUAUGUUCUUGAACCCCGGAAUUUUCUUUCGCGCAAAUGAUCCCGGAUCACUGCAUUUGAACCCCGACAUCUUUCUUGCCAAAAUAAUGAGCCCCAUUCUCCGUUUUGAACCUCAGUCGCCUGACGAUAACUCGCGAUCGCCAUUGUGAACCCCAUUCUCCAGAAAAUGCCUCGUGUCUCCUUUUCUCCAUUUGAACCCCGCUCUCCAGAAAAUGCCUAGCCUGACGAUAACUCGCGAUCGCCAUUGUGAACCCCAUUCUCCAGAAAAUGCCUCGUGUCUCCUU